rnacentral:rRNA from 1 species
CGCAUUAAGUUCCCCGCCUGGGGAGUACGGCCGCAAGGCUAAAACUCAAAGGAAUUGACGGGGCCCCGCACAAGCGGCGGAGGCAUGCGGAUUAAUUCGAUGGCAACGCGAAGAACCUUACCAAGGCUUGACAUAUAGGAGAACGCGCUGGAGACAGCGAACUCUUUGGACACUCGUAUACAGGUGGUGCAUGGUUGUCGUCAGCUCGUGUCGUGAGAUGUUGGGUUAAGUCCCGCAACGAGCGCAACCCUCGUCCUAUGUUGCCAGCACGUCAUGGUGGGAACUCAUGGGAUACUGCCGGGGUCAACUCGGAGGAAGGUGGGGAUGAGGUCAAAUCAUCAUGCCCCUUAUGUCUUGGGCUUCACGCAUGCUACAAUGGCCGGUACAAUGGGCUGCGAUACCGCGAGGUGGAGCGAAUCCCAAAAAGCCGGUCUCAGUUCGGAUUGAGGUCUGCAACUCGACCUCAUGAAGUCGGAGUCG